CAAUAGCGUAUAUUAAAGUUGUUGCAGUUAAAAAGCUCGUAGUUGGAUUUGUGGCGUACGGUGUGUUCCGGGCACUUGUUGUCUGAGUAACCUGCUGUUGACAUCCUUGGGUGGAACCUGUGUGGCAUUAGGUUGUCGUGCAGGGGAUGCCCAUCGUUUACUGUGAAAAAAUUAGAGUGUUCAAAGCAGGCUUAUGCCGUUGAAUAUAUUAGCAUGGAAUAAUGAGAUAGGACUUUUUUGCUAUUUUGUUGGUUUGCGCAAAGAGGUAAUGAUUAAUAGGGACAGUUGGGGGUAUUCGUAUUCCAUUGUCAGAGGUGAAAUUCUUGGAUUUUUGGAAGACGAACUACUGCGAAAGCAUUUACCAAGGAUGUUUUCAUUAA
rnacentral:rRNA from 1 species